rnacentral:rRNA from 1 species
CAAGUCGAACGGCAGCACGGACUUCGGUCUGGUGGCGAGUGGCGAACGGGUGAGUAACAUAUCGGAACGUAUCCAAUAAUGGGGGAUAACUAAUCGAAAGGUUGGCUAAUACCGCAUACGCCCUACGGGGGAAAGCUAGGGACCUUCGGGCCUGGCGUUAAUGGAGCGGCUGAUAUCUGAUUAGCUAGUUGGUGAGGUAAAGGCUCACCAAGGCGACGAUCAGUAGCUGGUCUGAGAGGACGACCAGCCACACUGGAACUGAGACACGGUCCAGACUCCUACGGGAGGCAGCAGUGGGGAAUUUUGGACAAUGGGCGCAAGCCUGAUCCAGCCAUUCCGCGUGAGUGAAGAAGGCCUUCGGGUUGUAAAGCUCUUUCGCAAGGGAAGAAAACUUAUCCUCUAACAUAGGAUGAGGUUGACGGUACCUUGAUAAGAAGCACCGGCUAACUACGUGCCAGCAGCCGCGGUAAUACGUAGGGUGCGAGCGUUAAUCGGAAUUACUGGGCGUAAAGCGUGCGCAGGCGGUUUUGUAAGUCAGAUGUGAAAUCCCCGAGCUCAACUUGGGAACUGCGUUUGAAACUACAAGACUAGAAUAUGUCAGAGGGGGGUAGAAUUCCACGUGUAGCAGUGAAAUGCGUAGAGAUGUGGAGGAAUACCAAUGGCGAAGGCAGCCCCCUGGGAUAAUAUUGACGCUCAUGCACGAAAGCGUGGGGAGCAAACAGGAUUAGAUACCCUGGUAGUCCACGCCCUAAACGAUGUCUACUAGUUGUUGGUGGAGUAAAAUCCAUGAGUAACGCAGCUAACGCGUGAA